CCUACGGGUGGCAGCAGUAGGGAAUCUUCCACAAUGGGCGAAAGCCUGAUGGAGCCACGCCGCGUGGGUGAAGAAGGUCUUCGGAUCGUAAAACACUGUUGUUAGAGAAGAAAGCGCGUGAGAGUAACUGUUCACGUUUCGACGGUAUCUAUCCAGAAAGCCACGGCUAACUACGUGCCAGCAGCCGCGGUAAUACGGAGGUGGCAAGCGUUAUCCGGAUUUAUUGGGCGUAAAGGGAACGCAGGCGGUCUGUUAAGUCUGAUGUGAAAGCCUUCGGCUUAACCGGAGUAGUGCAUUGGAAACUGGCAGGCUUGAGUGCAGUAGAGGGAGGUGGAACUCCAGGUGUAGCGGUGAAAUGCGUAGAGAUCUGGAAGAACACCGGUGGCGAAGGCGGCUCCCUGGACUGUGACUGACGCUGAGGUUCGAAAGCGUGGGUAGCAAACAGGAUUAGAUACCCCAGUAGUC
rnacentral:rRNA from 1 species